UAUCAUGCAAGUCGAGCGGAGUUAAUAAGAAGCUUGCUUCUUUGAGACUUAGCGGCGGACGGGUGAGUAACACGUAGGCAACCUGCCCUUUAGCCUGGGAUAACUACCGGAAACGGUAGCUAAUACCGGAUACUUUCUUUUUCUGCAUGGNAGAAGAACGAAAGACGGAGCAAUCUGUCACUGAAGGAUGGGCCUGCGGCGCAUUAGCUAGUUGGUGGGGUAACGGCUCACCAAGGCGACGAUGCGUAGCCGACCUGAGAGGGUGAUCGGCCACACUGGGACUGAGACACGGCCCAGACUCCUACGGGAGGCAGCAGUAGGGAAUCUUCCGCAAUGGGCGAAAGCCUGACGGAGCAACGCCGCGUGAGUGAUGAAGGUUUUCGGAUCGUAAAGCUCUGUUGCCAGGGAAGAACGUCUUGGAGAGUAACUGCUCUGAGAGUGACGGUACCUGAGAAGAAAGCCCCGGCUAACUACGUGCCAGCAGCCGCGGUAAUACGUAGGGGGCAAGCGUUGUCCGGAAUUAUUGGGCGUAAAGCGCGCGCAGGCGGCCGUUUAAGUCCGGUGUUUAAUCCCGAAGCUCAACUUCGGGUCGCACUGGAAACUGGAGGGCUUGAGUGCAGAAGAGGAGAGUGGAAUUCCAC
rnacentral:rRNA from 1 species